UCCAAUUCUGUGUCUAUUGAUGGGAGAGUGGAUAGAGAGUUCACUGCCACUGCCAUGAGAACUGUCUGCGUGUUCCUGCAGAGACAAGAACCUGCUGUUCUUUGAAGGUUUGUAGGGGAAUUUUGUAAUGAUGAAAUAGUAAAACAGCACAGGACUGGUCAUAUAUGGUGCAUGUAAGUAAGGAACAGAGGUCAAGCAGAGGUAAGAAGGUGCCUUGAUGCUGAUAUGAGAUCUGAACCUGCUCAUAAUUUAGACAAGAUUCAGUAUAGAGGUUUCUCAGGUGCAUCAUGCCUGUUGUUUUGGCUGCUGCACUUUUUUCCCUUCUCAUCUUUUCGGACAGUUUUUUCCACUAAUGAGACUAUACUCGGAGCCUAUAGAGGUUCCACAGAAAGUCCAGGUUCUCCACAUCAAUAUCUGCCAUUGCCAGAAGGUUAGCUGUGUCUCCCAGCACAGUCUCAAGAGCAUGGAGGAAAUUCCAGGAGAGGCAGUUACUCUAGGGGAGCUGGGCAGGGCAGGUAUCUGCUUCUUUGUGCAAGGAGGAAUGGGAUGAGCACUGCCACUGCCUGACCUCCAGCAGUCUACCGGUUAUGAAUGACUAGUUGCACCCUGCGCUUUACACAGAUGAGGGCAGGUUCACCCUGAGUACAGUAUAGAUACUUUGCAUGAUUCAUCCAUCCAUCCAUUCAUCUUCCGCUUAUCCAUUUCAGGGUCAUUUUACAUGAUGUUUAUUUUAUUUUUUAUUUUUUUGAGAGUGAGAUCUCUUUUGAGCAGUGUAUGAUGCUGCAUGGUUUGAAUUACUCACUAUGAAAAAGUCCCGAUCCAAAACUUAAUGUCCACACCGAAUUUUGACUCAGCCCAAGAGGCACUCUUUUCUGAAAUAGUCAUAUAUGUGGUGUCUGGGACACUGUGAGCCCAUGGGAUGUAGUUGAAAUGCAUGAAAUAUGAAAGGUAUGUAAAGGUUAAAGACACACAAGACAGUAAAGUCAGAAUGCUUAACAGUGUACACGUGUUAUGUAAAGUGACCAUAAUGAGCCACAGUUUGUUUUUACCCUGUUAAAAUGAGCUAUUUAAUCUUUAAACAUUUGAGUUAUUCAGUUAUUAUUGCAAAAUGAAUAGCAGCUGUUCAGUAACAUACAGUGAACCCCCUCUUACACAACUCAAUAACUGUUUAUAAGGUGGUUCAGAUUUGGUCGUGUGAUUUUAUAAACAGACAUACUAAGCAUUAUAUUGAUCCUAUAUGUAAGGAGAAGCUGACAAACACAUUAAUGAACUAUUAUGUUGAAAUAUGUUAAACACAUAUCUCAGUAGUAGUACUAUAAACUGAAAAUUAGGUUUGGGCCUUUAGCAACGAGUACUGGGAGCAGCG
ensembl:lncRNA